CAAUGCACCAUGUUGGCUCUCUAGCAGAUCUGUAACUUACCACUGUCCACCUGAUGGAAACCACAGUAACAUCUUUUCCCACCACUCUGACAGCUGGUGUGUGGUAUCUAUGGAUCACAUUUGAUACCAUGAGGAUAAGGCCUGCAGAUUCAAAGACAGCCAGGUUCCAGCUGACUGCUCAAGAUGGUUGGUGCCUGGAUGUGACCUGA
rnacentral:lncRNA from 1 species